CUAUUUCUAGAGAUAGAAAGUUACUUCGGUACAUCGGUGACAGGUGGUGCAUGGUUGUCGUCAGCUCGUGUCGUGAGAUGUUGGGUUAAGUCCCGCAACGAGCGCAACCCCUAUUGUUAGUUGCCAUCAUUCAGUUGGGCACUCUAGCGAGACUGCCGGUAAUAAACCGGAGGAAGUGGGAUGACGUCAAAUCAUCAUGCCCCUUAUGACCUGGGCUACACACGUGCUACAAUGGUUGGUACAACGAGUUGCGAGUCGGUGACGGCGAGCUAAUCUCUUAAAGCCAAUCUCAGUUCGGAUUGUAGGCUGCAACUCGCCUACAUGAAGUCGGAAUCGCUAGUAAUCGCGGAUCAGCACGCCGCGGUGAAUACGUUCCCGGGCCUU
rnacentral:rRNA from 1 species